AGCAAGGAACAGAACCUAGAAUCGUAAACAUGGCUUAUCAUCUGGCGCGCAUUUCAUGGCCAUAGCGUGUUACCACACGGAUAUUUCUUGGACAUGGCUACAUAGUUCAAUGUUUUCUGUAUAGAGACGCUUGUUAGGUGUGACAGCUAAAGUCACACAUGCAUAACUUGCGAUACGAGUAAUAGAGGUUAACCAAGUCAUGUCAGUUAUUGCAUGUGUAAUUAUUGCAUGACGAAGAUCGACACUGGCCAUUAAAAAAAUAAGCCUAUCGUUCUGUCACGUGUGCUGCCUUCUUGUUAUUGUGCAAUGUCACACUCGUUUCACGAGGAAAACGUUGAGAAAACGUUUUGCUUCUCCUUGCGUCUUGACGCAAGGACAAGCAAAAUGUCCUUGCUAUCUAUUUAAGUUGAAAAAAGACGGUCGUCGAGAUGAAUAAACUGAGCAGCAUCCCGCCGAACAUCAACUUGGAUGAUCCACGCUUCAUAUCAGUCCAUAUCAACAAAUCGUAGCUUCAUGUUCUGAUAUAUUAAUCACAUCGGUAUUCGUCACUCCCUUGGAUGUGGUGAAAAUACGUCUUCAAACAUACAGAAAGCGAUGCUGUCGAAUAAGUGCUUUUUAUAAUUCAAUUGUUUAAUGGAUCAUUUGUGUCCUUAUAAUGGCAGGAUGCCUGAAUGGAUGAAGAGAAAUGGGAAAUUUAAUCGAACAGUAGAUGCUUUAUUAAAAAUAAUUAGAGCAGAAGGAAUAUUGUCUUUGGGGCUUGAAUCCUACUCUUGUUCUAGCGAUACCUGCAAAUGUUGCAUAUUUUGUUUCCUACGAGCAAUUUAGAUUAGAUCUCAAGUUUUUCAGAUCGUGUUUUCGCGACGCCGUGAUGUUAAAAAAAUUUACUUUAGCACUAUCUUGGAGGAGGUUUGUUACUUUAGCCACUCGGAGCAAGUUCUUUGUAUGCAAUGAGAUAUGUAAUGUAUAUAGUAAUAGUAUAUAAUGAGAUACAUUAUAUUGUAAGUAAUUUUGUUAUAUUUUCAAAAUUAUUUCUAAUGGAACAUGCGUAUACGUGUGUAACAUAAGUCUGACACUUUUUCAGUUAUUGAUCAAUCUAUUUGAAUUUUAGUAAUGGAUUGUUCACGUCUUGUAAUAGAAGAAACACAUGUUCUGUGUACGCUAGAAUAUGCACUAGUGUUGUGAUGGCAACUAUGAAAUAAGAGAGCGCUCUUAAAUCUUGCGUCUGCUGUCUGCUCGUACGUGCUAAAGAAGUGCUGAAUGCUGAUGGAAAUAAGUGUUUUGUUUUAGGGUAUUCUCUGUAAUAGAACUAUACUAAUUUGCAAAUCAAGGAACCAGCUUUCAUUGCAUGCGGAAGUUAAAAAGAGUGAGCAAAGAAACGAGUUGCAAGAACAAUGAGAGUACGGAUGAAUCCAUCAAUGUCGGACAAUCAAUAAAAUCAUUGAUUGCUCCCAAUAUGAUGGAAUCAGAAUUCCGUAUCCAAGAAACGUGCCAGGAUAAAAUAACAAAGUACGAAGGUACGUGCAAAAAUUUUCAAUGCGAAGAUGACAAUAGUAUUGUCAUCGAAAAAGGCUUGGAUGUAUAUCGA